rnacentral:rRNA from 1 species
UGAAUACGAGACGCUAAGGCGUCGAAGUAGUGUAUGUCAUACUUCCAAGAAAAGCUUGCACUGUCAUAGAUAAAAAACGCCUGUACCAUAACCGACACAGGUGGGUAGGUAGAGUAUACUAAGGGGCGCGAGAUAACUCUCUCUAAGGAACUCGGCAAAAUAACUCCGUAACUUCGGGAGAAGGAGUGCCUUAUUUUUAAGGCUGCAAUAACAAGAUCCAAGCAACUGUUUAUCAAAAACACAGGUCUCCGCUAAGUCGUAAGACGAUGUAUGGGGGCUGACGCCUGCCCAGUGCCAGAAGGUUAAAGAAGUUGGUUAGCAUUUGCGAAGCUGAUAACUGAAGCCCUGGUGAACGGCGGCCGUAACGAUAACGGUCCUAAGGUAGCGAAAUUCCUUGUCGGGUAAGUUCCGACCCGCACGAAAGGCGUAAUGAUUUGGAUACUGUCUCGGAGAGGGGCUCGGUGAAAUAGACUUGUCUGUGAAGAUGCGGACUACCUGCACCAGGACAGAAAGACCCUAUGAAGCUUUACUGUAACUUGAAAUUGAAAUUGGACUUUAUUCGCGCAGUAUAGGUGGGAGGCGUUGAUUAUAAUCUCGCGGGAUUAUUGGAGCCAUCAGUGAGAUACCACUCUUGUAAUGUUAGAUUUCUAACUUUGUAUCAUUAUCUGGUCAAAGAACAGUUUCAGGCGGGCAGUUUGACUGGGGCGGUCGCCUCCUAAACGGUAACGGAGGCGUACAAAGGUUUCCUCUGAACGGUUAGAAAUCGUAUCUAGAGUGUAAAGGCAUAAGGAAGCUUGACUGUGAGACCUACAAGUCGAGCAGGGACGAAAGUCGGUCUUAGUGAUCUGACGGUACUGAGUGGAAAGGCCGUCACUCAACGGAUAAAAGUUACUCUAAGGAUAACAGGCUGAUCUCCCCCAAGAGUUCACAUCGACCGGGAGGUUUGGCACCUCGAUGUCGGCUCAUCGCAUCCUGGGGCGGUAGUACGUCCCAAGGGUUGGGCUGUUCGCCCAUGAAAGCGGUACGCGAGCUGGGUUCAGAACGUCGUGAGACAGUUCGGUCCAUAUCCGGUGUAGGCGUUAGAAUAUUGAGAGGAGCCUUCUUUAGUACGAGAGGACCGAGAAGGACAUACCUCUGGUGUACCAGUUAUCGUGCCAACGGUAAACGCUGGGUAGCUAUGUAUGGAGUGGAUAACCGCUGAAAGCAUCUAAGUGGGAAGCCCACCUCAAGAUAAGUAUUCUCA